UAAAUGUAAUUCAUUUCCUUGCAACAUUUAUCUUAAUAUCGCCCCAGAUGCUCCUAAAAGUGAGAGUCUCGGCUUUUCUCAGUGAUCGCAACAGUUACCGUAACUAUAGCACGAAUCGCGCACCUUGAAUAUAGCGACGGCUCAUUUGACCACGGAAAAGUAAACGGCGGUUCAUUUGACCGUGGUGACACACCGGAGCAAACGGCAACUGUAGCUUGUUUGAUCCUUUCGGUAAUUAAUCUUACUGCAUCUAUUUAUGACAAUGAGUAGCACAUGUGUACAGCGAGCGGCGCUACAAUAAGUAUAGUGAAUUUUACUGUCUUGUCGUCUGCGUUAGAUUAAAGAUUAUGACACAAUAAAAAUGUGCUACCACUAGCAUCAUAAUGGCUCAGAGAACUUUCCUUUUACGAUGCAAACAAAUCGUUAAUGAGUGUACUCGACUUCUACAAGGGGACAGUCCACCAGAUGACGCAUUUCAAACAGUUCUAACAAGAAUGGAAACCCUUAAACGCUGUCUGGAGUGCUCAAGAGGGAGGUUGAUGGAUGCAACAGCAGUACAAGACAUCCUAGAAAACAUUGAGAAAUAUACUCAGGAGGUCAAGGAAAUGCAACAGGGGGCUCAACAAGUGCUUAUAGACACAAGCUGUUACGGCGAUAAAGAGGCACGUGAUGGCUGGACUGUCAUGCGAGGUGGUGUCAGCAAAAGUAAAACUCACAAGUCAUAGAGUCAAUUGACUCUCUGCAUAUUCGUUGAGCUGAGGGCUGCUUGAAGUGCUGUUUCUGUUGUAAUAGAGGUGAGGUCAGGAAAAUAACUUUUCUUAAAUAUGACAUAUAUAGAUGCUUCAGUCGAACAAGUCUGUCACAAACAAGUAAUUCCUUUUCCAAUAGAUGUGUUUUGAUCAUUUAUCAUUAUCAAACAUGUGAUCACAUGACUUUUACUGGCUAAUGAAUUAUGCCUUCUACAUUAAACAAUUACUGUCUUUUUGUCCUCUACAGAUUAACGUGCACACGCAUCAUAGACCAGAAGCACAAGUGGCCAUUGGUUUUAAUGCUGUCAACUAGGGCUCAAGCAUGCAUUAAAGAGUCCAUUACCUAAGAUGAUGUGGUUGUUAUUGCUCCUGAUACAAAGUUUUCGGUGUGUACACUUAAUGUCACUUUUCACAAAGACAAAUUCUGUAACAUCUGUUGUCUCUGUUUGAUUAUAGCAGGUAAUGUUUAUAUUAGUGUUUAGAAAGAUAAAGAAGGUACAGUACUGGGUUGUAUAGCACCGACGCCUGUGUGGUCACGUGUAACACUUGACUGAAGUAUUUCAAAUAGAUUUCAGUAUUCCCCAGUAAAUAAAAAAAACUCUACAAAUGUCCA
rnacentral:lncRNA from 1 species